rnacentral:rRNA from 1 species
CGAAUUGCGAUAUGUAAUGUGAAUUGCAGAAUUCAGUGAAUCAUCGAAUCUUUGAACGCACAUUGCC